AUAUUAACUUUAUGGAUAUAUUACUGCAAUGUUUUCACACUAGAGGCAGCAUAAGGAUAGACAGUAUAUAAAAAGUUUUGUACGACGCU